GUAUAGUUGUUUCCUUGCUUUAAAAACAAAUGCAUUGCAAUAGUUGUACACAUGCUUGAGAUGCUGAAUUUUAUGAUAGGGAGAUUCAUGUUACUUACAAGUGGCAAUUUCAUAAUGCUUAAAAGAGAAGAAUAAUAGAAAAUGUAACUUUGGGKUUUUUUUUUUCUAAAGUUAAAAUUGUAAAAGUUGUCAUUCUAUUUCACUAUUGAAGGAAAUGAGACAAUUUUACUYCAGUUGAAACAGGUGGAAGUUAUAUAUCGUUAAUAUAGUUAAUAUAGCAUAAGUAAAAUAUAAUCUCAUCAGCUAUCUCCAGUAUCUCUGGAACUGUUGAAGAUAUCUCUGUGGUAUAUUCUAUGCGUAUUCUAUAUUUCCUAGCCUGCCUUUUCUCCCAGGAWUCAAGAAUCAGAAUUGCAGAAGACAACUCAUCUAAAUGUUAAAGCUUACCAAGACUUGAAAUUUCUGUGCUCUGAUAGAAUGAUGCAAUAUGUAAGGCACAAACACUUUUAUGCAAGUGUUUCUUUUUUCUUGACAUAUGUUUGUGUUUUUUCUCAAUUGCUGAAUAUUUUAUUUCCUGGUUGCUGUUGGAAAAAUUGAAUACAUGAUAUCUUGCUUACUUUUAUGGUUUCUCUAUCUUACAGCCAAGAGUUCAAACUGGACCCUAGGGGAAAAUUCAUAAGCAAAAGUGUCUAGAAUUGGUGCCCUUGCUUGGGUAGGAGAGGAGAGGAACAUGUUGAAACACUAUCCUGAUUUUGCAAUAUUGUAGGAACAGCGCCCUAGUUUGUUUCUGGCUGUUUUUAACUUGAGAAGAAAUAAUGUUUCAAUCUCCUCUGGUUAUUGUAAAGCAAAAUAUGAUACUGUCUUUUCAUGUUCUGGAAACAGCUGUUCUUAAGAAACUGCUGUGGUGCUUAGCAGCUGCCCUGUGAGCCUUGGAAGCGUGGUGUAGCAGACUCCCCGCAUCCACAGUAAGCGGAAGCAGCCCUCUGAAGGACUAAUGCUGCCAAAAUUGCAAUGAAAAUAUCUGCAAUGAAAAUCUGAAUUUUACUCCCUGCAGCCCGUAUCUGCCCCUGAGGAGAAACUGAAGCUAGGGCCGCAGU
rnacentral:lncRNA from 1 species